rfam:Mus musculus chromosome 6 genomic contig, GRC reference assembly alternate locus group NOD/ShiLtJ.
UGUUUUAACAAUUUCUGCAGCACAUAUAUAAAAUUGGAACAAUACAGAAAAGAUUAGCAUGGCCCCUGUGCAAGGGGGGUCUAUUUUUUUUUUUGUACUUCAUUGUCUCAUU